rnacentral:rRNA from 1 species
UACAGAGGGUGCGAGCGUUGUCCGGAAUCACUGGGCGUAAAGGGCGCGUAGGCGGCCUGAUAAGUCGGGGGUGAAAUCCUGUGGCUUAACUGCAGGGCUGCCUCCUAGACUGUUAGGCUCGAGCACGGUAGAGGCAGAUGGAAUUCCCGGUGUAGCGGUGGAAUGCGUAGAGAUCGGGAAGAGCAUCGGUGGCGAAGGCGGUCUGCUGGGCCGUUGCUGACGCUGAGGCGCGACAGCGUGGGGAGCAAACAGG